rnacentral:lncRNA from 10 species
CUUGCCUGAGAAUCUAAAUAUUUACACAUCUCCCUUAUCCGUAUAUCAUCUUGUAUUCUGCUUCCUUUUUCAUUCCCAAUGUCGUGUGCUAUCCUUCCCUCUAGGCCACUCCUGAUGCUUCAGUCAUCUAACACAUAUUUGUCGCACACAGACUGGAACAGGAAUUGUGCCAGGGCCCUGGGACAAAGAUCACAGGGCUAGCUGAUGGACAGCAGGGGUCUGAAUCCGGGUGCCUGACACCAGAGCAUGUACUUUUCAUUUGGAUUCCAUGAGACUCCCGCAGACAUAACUCACCAGUCACAUUGGAUCACGGUCCACCUAUCUGACCUCAUUUAACCUUGAAUCUCUUUAAAGGCCGUAUCUCCAAAUACAGUCAUUUUAAGGUACUGGUAGUUAGGACUUCAACAUAUGAAUUUGCUGGGGGAGACACAGCCCAUGCAGUGUUGGAAUCCUACCCAUCCACAUCCCUCCUCAGAUGCACUUCCCUUCAGGAAGCAUGAAACUCAGCCAGCUGGAAUUUCUCCUUCCUUGAGACCCCAUUUCUCCACUCCACCACUUAACAAAGGCCUAGAGGUGUAUAAGUUCCUUGUAUGACAGAACAAUGCCUUGUUUUAUAAAUAGUGUCUUAUAUUAUUAUGUCUCCCAAUGGCAUAUAGUUUAAUACCUCAUUCGGAGUAAGAAUUUAACAAAUAUUCAAUACUUGAACAAAUAAAAAACUGUGGUACCUCCAUACGAUGGAUGGAUAUUAUUCAAUGCUAAAAAGAAAUGAGUUAUCAAACCAUGAAAAGAUAUGGAGGAACCUUAAGUGCAUAUUGUUAAGUAAAAGAAACCAAUCUGAAAAGGCUACAUACUGUAUGAUUCCAACUAUAUGACAUACUGGAUAAGUCAAAACUAUGGAGACAGUAAAAAACAUGAGUGAUUGCCAGGGUCACUGGGGUGGAAUUGGGGAAGGAAGGGAGGAAUGAAUAAAUGGAGCACAGAGGAUUUUCGGGGCAAUAGAAUUGUUCUGACGCUACAAUGGUGGAUACAUAUGAUUUUACAUUUGACAAAAUGCAUAGAAUGCACAACAUAACGAAUGAAACCUAAUGGAAGUGAUGGACUUUGGGGGAUAAUGAUGUGUUAAUGUAGAUUCAUCAGUUGUAACAAAGGCACCACCCUGUUGUAGGACUUUAUAGCGGGGAGGGUGUGCCUAUGUGCGAGUGGGAAGAUUAUGGAAACUCUCUGUUCUUUCCGCUUAAUUUUGCCAUGACUCUAAAACUGCUCUAAAAACAUAUAUAGUUUACUUAAAAGGAAACCCCUCAAAAAUACAAUUUUUAAUUGAAUUUUCUGCACAGCCCUCAUAUUUUUAAAAAUAUGGGUAUGGCUUCCAUCUUUGGGGUUUCGGUAAGCCCUGCUUUCCUUUAUAGUGAGCUAGGUCAUUGACAAGGAAUAAUAAAUCAAUUAAAAAAGAGAAUGGUGUCUAAGACUUCAUCAUGCCUCCAUCAUAAUCCCAACAUUUGGAGAUUUCAGGACAGCAUGAACCUCAAAGUACGCAGCCUCCCUCCCAAGCAAUGUGUGAAGCUUGUUAACUCUGCUCCAAGAUGGUAUAAAACUUUGAUUAGCCAGAAUGCUACACUAAAGGACUAGGGUUCUAGUUUAUUGGUGUAUGGCUGUGGAGUUCAUGCCUCCCAAGCCAGCCCUCUUUGGAAGCAAACCAAGCGUUGCCUCCUUGGGGAUGGCACUAUUCAUCCAACAUUGCAUUGCCCAGGGUGUGUACUUCUGGGAUCCAUUGCUAAAGGAAGAAAUGUUAGGCUCCACUAUGAGUACUGCUGCUGGCAAAAGACAAAUAUCCAGAGGAGCCAGGGCUUUGGGCUGAGAAACAGAUGGCGGGAAGCCAUCUAUAGUGGAGAGAAGAAAGAGGAGGACUCAGGAAGAGGAAGGCAC